GAUGAACGCUGGCGGCGUGCCUAAUACAUGCAAGUCGAGCGAACGGACGAGAAGCUUGCUUCUCUGAUGUUAGCGGCGGACGGGUGAGUAACACGUGGAUAACCUACCUAUAAGACUGGGAUAACUUCGGGAAACCGGAGCUAAUACCGGAUAAUAUUUUGAACCGCAUGGUUCAAAAGUGAAAGACGGUCUUGCUGUCACUUAUAGAUGGAUCCGCGCUUCAUUAGCUAGUUGGUAAGGUAACGGCUUACCAAGGCAACGAUGCAUAGCCGACCUGAGAGGGUGAUCGGCCACACUGGAACUGAGACACGGUCCAGACUCCUACGGGAGGCAGCAGUAGGGAAUCUUCCGCAAUGGGCGAAAGCCUGACGGAGCAACGCCGCGUGAGUGAUGAAGGUCUUCGGAUCGUAAAACUCUGUUAUUAGGGAAGAACAUAUGUGUAAGUAACUGUGCACAUCUUGACGGUACCUAAUCAGAAAGCCACGGCUAACUACAUG
rnacentral:rRNA from 1 species